ensembl:lncRNA
CAAAAAUGAACCUUUGCCCUGCAUAUAUGUCGGAAUUUUUGUGUUAUAGAUUGUAUUGUAUAUAAAGUGGAAUGUAAGUUGUGAAACAGUAGAUAACAGUGUGUAGAUUAAAGUCAAUAAACUGAUUGAAGGAGGUGAGAAAUUGAAGUACAAAAUAAACAGCUGAAAUAUGAGUAAUGUCUUUGCUUGAAUUUUGGAGACACUGAAAUAGUGAAUUUUCUGUUCGUUUUCCUGGGACUGUCAUGAAAACAAAUUUGUGUGUUUGUUAAAUGUUUGCCAAGGGCACAGAGAUGACAAAUAGGAUUCUCUUAGUUAUGUUAGCAUUAUAAAUGACAAUAGUUGUUAAUGUAAGUCUCAUAUUAAUUGAACUGAAGCCUGAAAGUCAAAACUUAUUGCAAGUAUGAAUGAAGACAGUAUUUUAUGUCCAAUCAUUCUUGAAUACAACUCAUAAUUUUAUUGGGUUUUUUGUUGUUGUUGUUUUUGUUGUUUGUUUGUUUUUAUUCCAGUUCAGUUUUGUCUGUAUUUUACAGUUGUCACUCUGCAGGAAGGUGGUAGUGAGAUUUGUGUAUAAGAGAUUUUCUAUGAUCUGGCAUCCUAUGGUAAUAUGUUGACCUGACACUCCAGAGCAAUAAUUCUGCUGAAUGUUAAAGAAAUUGCUUUCAAAGGCAGACUAGACUGCAGUGAUCACGUCCAGGUGGAAUUCACAGUCCUAAGAAGUACAGCUUAAAUGAAGAGUAAAUAGAAUAAAAGAGAAUGGAAUUCUUUCAAUAGCAAUGGAUUCAGAAGAUCAUUCAGUCCAACUGUCACCAGGGGCUGACCCACAGUUAAACAUGGACAGACACAAAGCAUCAGCCACAUGCCUAGGAAGCUGUAAGAGACUAUUCUUUUAUAUCAUUGACUCAAAGUUUGCUGAGGAUCAAGUCCAGGCAAGUCCUGGGCAAAGGCAGAGAAAUCUUUUGUCUUGAGGACACUGAUGGACAGGUCCUGGCUAAGGAUUGUGAAAUCCUCUAAGGAGCACAGAUGGACAAGGCCAGGGGCAUCGAGAGAGAGAUAAGCUGCUGCUAAUGGCCGGGAAGCGGUCUUUUUGUGUGGACUUUUCUCAAGGAAAAUGGCCAUCUCAGGAGGUAUGCACAGGACUCUUGCUCAAGCACCCAGGAAUGUCACGUAGACAGCAGAAAAUGGAGAAUAAAAGAGGGUCCAAUAACCACAACGCUGGAAGCUGAUCCUUCACCACAACCACGGCAACGGGAGAGGCUUAUCUCUCACCACGACAGACUUGAGGGGUUCUCUGCCAACUGAUCUCUCACCGCAACGUGUAGACGGAUCUCUACGUGGAGACUGAUCUCUCACCACGACACGAGCUUCCUGCCUUCCGAUCCUCCUCUACGGACCGUUUGCUGACGGACUUCCCUGGGCCUGCUACCUGAGACCUGCUGCUUCCUCCCUGGCCUGCAUCCUCUCGCUGCCCCAGACCGGCCUCGCUGCUCCUGCCCUUCGGCCUCGGACCGUCGGAACGUCGUGCAACGGGACUGCUGCCGGAUCCUGGUGGUGACUAUCCCCGCUUUACGCAAUUCUUGCCUCUUUCUAUCUUUUCUAUCGCUCGCCUUCCCUUCCCCAUCACCCCAAUCCUUAAUAGCGUCCGUCCUCCCCUUUCCCCAUCUCUCUUAUUAACAUUUAUAAUAAACUGGUCGGACCAACAUUUGAACCGCUGUUUCUUAAUCUCACGCCGGGCAUACAUAUUUCAAAGAACCUCCUCUCCCUCCUAUAAAUUGGAGCGAGACAGAAGCAUAUUCCAGUGUCUAACUACUCUCUUGGUGAAGAAGUUUGUCCUAAUCACUGAAUGAUGGAUUAAUAGAAUCACAGAAUCAUAGAAUGGUUAAGAUUGUAUGGAACCUUAAAGAACAUCUAAUUCCAGACCUCUGCCAUGGACAGGGUUGCCACCCACUAGAAAAGUUUGCUCAGGGCCCCAUCCAACCUGAUUUUGAAUAUAUCCAGGAUUAUGAUACUCAGAGCUUCUCUGGGCAAACUGUUCUAAUGCCUCCCCACUCCCUGGGUAAAGAAUUUCCUCCUAACAUCUAGCCUAAGUCUCUUCUCUUACAGCUUAAUAUGAAAUCUUCAAGCUUCCACUGGGUAGCAUCUCUUCAUUUAUGUGUGUCCACUGCACCACUCAGCUUGGUGUCAUAUGCAGACUUGCUGGGAGUACACUUGAUCCCACUGUCCAUGCCACCUAUGAAGAUGUUAAAUAGCACUGGUCCCAGUACUGAUCCCUGAAGAACACCACUUGUCAUUGGUUUCCACUUGGACAUUGAGCUGUUGACUGCAACUCCCUGAGUGUGACCAUCCAGCCAAUUCCUUAUUCAGCUAGUGGUCCAUCCAUCAAGUCCAUUUUUCUCCAAUUUGGUGAUGAGGAUGUCAUAUGGGACAGCAUCAAAUGCACAAAUUGCAAAUUGUCAAAUGGCACAAAUCCAGGUAGAUGAUGUCAGUUGUUCUUGUUUUACCCACUGACACUGCAACUCCAUCAUAAUAGGUCAUCACAUUUGUCAGGCAUGACUUGCCCUUGGUGAAGCCAUGUUGGUUACCACCAAUCACCUCAUCUUUAUUUUCCAUGUGCCUUAGUAGGACCUUCAGAAGGAUCUGCUCCAUGAUCUUGCCAGGCACAGAGGUGAGACUGACUGGCAUGUAGAUCCCUGGAUCUUUGCUUUUUUUUGUCUAUUUGAAAAUGGGGAUUCUGUUUCCUUUUUUCCAGACAGUGGGAACUUCAUCAGACUGCCAUGACUUUUAAAAUAUGAUGGAUAGUGGCUUGGCAACUUCAAAAUUAUUCAAAUCAGUUUAACAUAGAGCAAGGGGUUGAUCUCAAUGUACUUAUAACUCUCUAAGCUUCACAUCUGUCUCAGAGAGAACUUGCAGCUUUUUAUACUUGUGAGACUCAUUAUUACCACCUUCAUUUUGAUAUUCACUACCUCCUUUAGCAGGACGAUUUUGUUUUGAUUACACUCUUCAAAAUGUCUGUAUGAAUAUGGGAUUCAAAUAGAUAUCCUAGGCAAUUCACCCAUACCUCUCUUGUGAAUAUUUACAUAAUUACAGAAAAAUAACUUUGUUAGGAGUGAUUGGCUUCUGAUAGUGAAAAGAGCUAUCUCCUUGGCAUACCAGUUUGUGCAGAGCGUGAGGCUUGGUCCUUUGCCUAUGUCCUUGGUCCUUUUGCCUAUGUGAAGAUGUAUUACUGCUUUGGUAGUCAAACUGAUUUAUUUUAAUUGUUUAAUUUUAUAAAUUGUCUGAUUCUAAGGUCUGACGUGCCAAUUAUGAUGCUCUAAUCUGACUACAUAGCACAGGGUGAAUAUUUGAAUUGAAGCUCUGUGGUUUUAUGUGGACAUUCCACCAAUGGACACUUUUGCCUUGAAGUCUUCAUAGACAUACUUCACAGUCUCCAGAGACUAUUGUCCAUAAUUUCAUAAAACAGCAAGAUGUUAGAAGUUUUGCCAUGUUCAUUUUAGAAAAUCCAAAAUUAAGUUGUGUUGAGGUACAUAAACAACUCCUCUGGUAUUUUGGUUAAGAGCUUUUAUUAUUAAUAGAUCACAAAGACUAAAAUAAAAUUAUUCUUCUGACUCAGCACACAAUUUUUUGUAAAUUCUAAUAUGCAAUUUUAUCUAGCCGCUAGAACAAUAAGGCUUCAUUUCCAUGAAUAAUCAUCUUUUCUAUCUAAAUUACUCCUUCAAGGGUCUUACUACCUAUUGUGCCUUUAAUUAUCUUAUACUGUCAGAAAAUGUUAUUAAAAAUGCUAUGUAGAAUUUGUAGUCUUUCAACCAAAGCUGCUGCAGUCAUUUUUUUCCACCUUAGAAAUAAGUAUUAAAAACUCCAUGAUUUUUAAAUCAAAUCCAGGUUAGUUAUUACAAAAUCUGAUCAUGUGUUUUAUUUUAGUGAAAAUCCCCCGUUUACACAGGCAAAUGACUCAAAAGAGAGCCAAUGAAUUACUUUAUUUUAUGCACCACCUUAAUGUAAGCAAUAAUAUGUACAUGAACUUGUCCACCUCCUUUUUAAUUUCCUGAAUUAAAAUUAUAGCACUUUUAAAAAUGUUUAUAGAUAAUUAUUUCUUUUUAUUUCAUUAAAAAAAAAAAAAAGAAGAAGAAGAAGAAGCUUAAAUUCAAACCAAGGAAAGAACCAUAAAUUCCCGCAAAAGGGAAACAGAGAGAGAAAUUCCAAAAUAUCACAGUACACAGAAAUAGUGCAAACAGCACUAGACAGAGCUAUCAAGAUACUUCGAAUCAGAGUUCUAACAAACAAAUAAGAUAAAAUUGCAUCCUUGUCAGUGACAUAGUUUAGCCCCCUUCUGGAACCAUUAGGAGAAAAGUACCUGGGCCACCAAAAGGUUCUAUCAGAGUAAGAAAAAAAAGACAGUUUUUGUAUUGUCCCAGAAAUUAUUACUGGGCUCAUAUCGUUAUGGACUUUUUCAUUAAACCUGUACUGGAAGAUCAUUCGUCUGCCUGUCAUUUUAAAUCAAAGUUUUCAACCUUGGGAAAUGCUUACGGAAGUAUCACUGUAUGUCUUUCAUUCAAGGUGAUAAAUUAGUAAAAAAGAAAUAAUCAUAAAAUAUGAUCAAACAUCAGAGUGAAAAUUGUUGGUGCCUACUAUAUGGCUAAAAGUGGUAUGAUUUCUAUUUAUAGUAACUUGGAUCAAAACAAACAAACAAAAAGAACACAAAACAAAAGUAUACAAAGCAAAACAGCUAUUCUCUUAAUCUGUAUUUAUCAUAUAAAAGUGUAGCUAAAAUAUAUAAUUUAUCUUGAACAAAUUCUUCUAUCCAAAGGCUGCUUCAAAAGUAAUGCUUACUAUUCUGUUAUAUUAUUCCACCAUGUCAGAAACAGAUGUUGGUGAUGUGGCAGUAGAGAUUGAACCUUUCUGACAAAAUUCCAUUAAAUUUUAUUAUAGUGUUCUUUUGUUAUUCUAUUAAAUAGUGCUAUUGUGCUCUCUGUAUUUGUUGUAGUGUCCAUGGAUAUAAAUAGGAGGCAUUACUUUCAGAGCAACCUAUGUGUGUUUGUAUAUAAAUGUAUAUAUAAUGCUUUAUUUUCAUUUUCAGCUAAUGAAUUCAAAUAUAGACCAUUGGCCUAUGCCAAUCAAAAUAAAGUACUAUUCUAUGAAAUUGCAUUGUUUUCGUGAAAUAUUAUUUCUGAUUUAAUGCUAUAGCCACCAUUUUGUUCUUUUACACUUAUGAGAAGUUACACAGUAUUUGG